UACGUAGGGUGCGAGCGUUUGUCCGGGAAUACUGGGCGUAAAGCGUGCGCAGGCGGUUUUGUAAGCCAGAUGUGAAAAUCCCCCAGGCUUAACCUGGGAACUGCAUUCGAGACUGCAUUGCUAGAGUAUGGGAGAGGGAAGUGGAAUUUCCGGUGUAGCGGUGAAAUGCGUAGAUAUCGGAAGGAACAUCAGUGGCGGAAAGCGACUUCCUGGACCAAUACUGACGCUCAUGUGCGAAAGCGUGGGGAGCAAACAGG
rnacentral:rRNA from 1 species